GACGAACGCUGGCGGCGUGCUUAACACAUGCAAGUCGAACGGAAAGGCCCUGCUUUUGUGGGGUGCUCGAGUGGCGAACGGGUGAGUAACACGUGAGUAACCUGCCCUUGACUUUGGGAUAACUUCAGGAAACUGGGGCUAAUACCGGAUAGGAGCUCCUGCUGCAUGGUGGGGGUUGGAAAGUUUCGGCGGUUGGGGAUGGACUCGCGGCUUAUCAGCUUGUUGGUGGGGUAGUGGCUUACCAAGGCUUUGACGGGUAGCCGGCCUGAGAGGGUGACCGGCCACAUUGGGACUGAGAUACGGCCCAGACUCCUACGGGAGGCAGCAAUGGGGAAUAUUGCACCAUGGGCGGAAGCCUGAUGCAGCAACGCCGCGUGCGGGAUGACGGCCUUCGGGUUGUAAACCGCUUUCGCCUGUGACGAAGCGUGAGUGACGGUAAUGGGUAAAGAAGCACCGGCUAACUACGUG
rnacentral:rRNA from 1 species